rnacentral:lncRNA from 1 species
GGUUCUGCUAAAUUUUCAGAAAUUCAUAGGAAUUUGAGUAGGAAAUGAGGCCAUCUCUCGAUGGUAAAGCCUUCUUAAAAAGGCAUGAUAAUCCUCUCUCUUCUGUACAUUCUUCUCUCCUUGAUAUAGUUAUAGGGAAGUUACCUACCUACCCAAAUUAAUGACUUGAAAAAGGGGCCUCCCAAUAUAGAUAUGCAAGUGUUGUCACCUCAAAUUAGAACAGCUAUUGGCCAGAAAUAGGUCGAAGAGCAACAUAGUGUAUCAUCUCCUUCAUUUCCUCCG